UCUAGGGCCAUACCACCCUGAACGCGCCCAAUCUCAUCUGAUCUCAGAAGCUAAGCAGGGUUGGGCCUGGUUAGUACUUGGAUUAGAGACCGCCUGGGAACACCGGGUGCCCCUAGGC
rnacentral:rRNA from 1 species